rnacentral:rRNA from 1 species
GAUGAACGCUGGCGGCGUGCCUAACACAUGCAAGUCGAGCGAACCCUUCGGGGUGAGCGGCGGACGGGUGAGUAACGCGUGGGUAACCUGCCCUGUACACACGGAUAACAUACCGAAAGGUAUGCUAAUACGGGAUAACAUAAUAAAAUCGCAUGGUUUUGUUAUCAAAGCUGAGGCGGUACAGGAUGGACCCGCGUCUGAUUAGCUAGUUGGUAAGGUAAAGGCUUACCAAGGCGACGAUCAGUAGCCGACCUGAGAGGGUGAUCGGCCACAUUGGAACUGAGACACGGUCCAAACUCCUACGGGAGGCAGCAGUGGGGAAUAUUGCACAAUGGGCGAAAGCCUGAUGCAGCAACGCCGCGUGAGCGAUGAAGGCCUUCGGGUCGUAAAGCUCUGUCCUCAAGGAAGAUAAUGACGGUACUUGAGGAGGAAGCCCCGGCUAACUACGUGCCAGCAGCCGCGGUAAUACGUAGGGGGCUAGCGUUAUCCGGAAUUACUGGGCGUAAAGGGUGCGUAGGCGGUCUUUCAAGUCAGGAGUGAAAGGCUACGGCUCAACCGUAGUAAGCUCUUGAAACUGUAAGACUUGAGUGCAGGAGAGGAGAGUGGAAUUCCUAGUGUAGCGGUGAAAUGCGUAGAUAUUAGGAGGAACACCAGUUGCGAAGGCGGCUCUCUGGACUGUACUGACGCUGAGGCACGAAAGCGUGGGGAGCAAACAGGAUUAGAUACC